GAAAGUAGUAGGAAAUCAAAAGGUCAUACAUUAAUAGUAAUUAAAAAAAUAAUAAAUUGUAUUUAUUACAAUAAAUAUAACAAAAAUUGUAUUUAUUAUAUGAGAAAGUAGUAGGAAAUCAAAAUGUCAUACAUUAAUAAGGUCAUACAUUAAUAAUGAUGAAAAAAAUAAUAAAUUGUAUUUAUUACAAUAAAUAUAAUAAAAAUUGUAUUUAUUAAAUGAGAAAGUAGUAGGAAAUCAAAAGGUCAUACAUUAAUAGUGAUUAAAAAAUAAUAAAUUGUAUUUAUUACUGUUGACUUAUUUAACUAAUCCUAGCUGAUUCUAGAGAUUUGAUUUGAUCUAAUUAGGAUCCUUAAUUAUCUCUGUAAUUAUUAUUUGAUUAUUUACUUCCUGUUUAGAUAUGAUUCUCUGUGUAUAAAUAGUCAUGUAGACCAAUUGUAAAGAUUAAGAGUGAAAUACAAAAAUACUCAAAAUUNN
rnacentral:lncRNA from 1 species